UACGUAGGCAGCGAGCGUUGUUCGGAGUUACUGGGCGUAAAGCGCGUGUAGGCGGCCUUCUAAGUCUGGUGUGAAAGCCCGGGGCUCACCCCCGGAAGUGCAUUGGAUACUGGGAGGCUGGAGUACCGGAGAGGAGGGUGGAAUUCCUGGUGUAGCGGUGAAAUGCGCAGAUAUCAGGAAGAACACCAAUGGCGAAAGCAGCUCUCUGGGACGGUACUGACGCUGAGACGCGAAAGCGUGGGGAGCGAACAGG
rnacentral:rRNA from 1 species